rnacentral:rRNA from 1 species
CCCUUAGAUGUUCUGGGCCGCACGCGCGCUACAAUGAUGAAUUCAACGAGUUUAUAACCUUGGUUGAAAAGCCUGGGUAAUCUUUUGAACUUUCGUCGUGAUGGGGCUAGACCCUUGCAAUUAUUGGUCUCCAACGAGGAAUUCCUAGUAAACGCAAGUCCUCAGCUUGCAUUGAUUACGUCCCUGCCCUUUGUACACACCGCCCGUCGCACCUACCGAUUGAAUGGUCCGGUGAAAUCUUCGGAUUGAGACUUUGAUUUCUUCACGGAAAACGCUGUUUUAAAAAGUUGAUUAAACCUUACCAUUUAGAGGAAGGUGAAGUCGUAACA